AAUAUAAAAAAGAAGAUGUGGUAUGAUUGUCAAUGAGACAACUGUCCACAAGAGACCAAAAUGACACAGACAUUAACAACUAUAGGUCACCGUACGGCCUUCAACAAUGAGCAAAGCCCAUACCGCAUAGUCAGCUAUAAAAGGCCCCGAUUAGACAGUGUAAAACAAUUCAAACGAGAAAACUAACGGCCUUAUUUAUAUAAACAAAAUGAACGAAAAACAAAUAUGUAACACAUAUACAAAC
rnacentral:lncRNA from 1 species